GACGAACGCUGGCGGCGUGCUUAACACAUGCCAGUCGAACGGAAAGGCCCUGCUUUUGUGGGGUGCUCGAGUGGCGAACGGGUGAGUAACACAUGAGUAACCUGCCCUUGACUUUGGGAUAACUUCAGGAAACUGGGGCUAAUACCGGAUAGGAGCUCCUGCUGCAUGGUGGGGGUUGGAAAGUUUCGGCGGUUGGGGAUGGACUCGCGGCUUAUCAGCUUGUUGGUGGGGUAGUGGCUUACCAAGGCUUUGACGGGUAGCCGGCCUGAGAGGGUGACCGGCCACAUUGGGACUGAGAUACGGCCCAGACUCCUACGGGAGGCAGCAGUGGGGAAUAUUGCACAAUGGGCGGAAGCCUGAUGCAGCAACGCCGCGUGCGGGAUGACGGCCUUCGGGUUGUAAACCGCUUUCGCCUGUGACGAAGCGUGAGUGACGGUAAUGGGUAAAGAAGCACCGGCUAACUACGUG
rnacentral:rRNA from 1 species